UACGAAGGGGGCUAGCGUUGCUCGGAAUUACUGGGCGUAAAGCGCACGUAGGCGGCUCUUUAAGUCGGGGGUGAAAUCCUGGAGCUCAACUCCAGAACUGCCUUCGAUACUGUAGAGCUUGAGUUCGGGAGAGGUGAGUGGAGCUGCGAGUGUAGAGGUGAAAUUCGUAGAUAUUCGCAAGAACACCAGUGGCGAAGGCGGCUCACUGGCCCGAUACUGACGCUGAGGUGCGAAAGCGUGGGGAGCAAACAGG
rnacentral:rRNA from 1 species